rnacentral:lncRNA from 1 species
UGAUGGCGAUAUCCCCGCUUGCAUCCAGAACGUGCUGGAAGAAUUCAAGGACGUAAUGCCACUCGAGUUGCCCCGCAAGCUGCCACCCAGGCGGGGGGUGGAUCAUAAGAUCGAGUUGGAGCCCGAGGCAAAGCCACCAGCCAAAGCAACCUACCGGAUGGCGCCACCAGAAUUAGAGGAGCUGCGGAGACAGUUGGCGGAAUUGUUGGAGA